ensembl:snoRNA
UGGUCCAUCCCAAUCCUUGCCAUUCAGCCUGUGGUCUGCCAGGUUCCCCUGGGGACCAGACCAUUCUAGAAGCCUCACCCACAGAAGUGAGCAAAGCUUCAGGAGGCUUGUGCUAGGGGAGCUUCUAGACCUCA